AGUUCCCUGGUGACUCGUUUUGGUCUUCAAAUCCAACAUAGGAG
rnacentral:tRNA from 13 species